rnacentral:rRNA from 1 species
CGCAAGCCUGAUGCAGCGACGCCGCGUGAGGGAUGACGGCCUUCGGGUUGUAAACCUCUUUCAGUAGGGAAGAAGCGAAAGUGACGGUACCUGCAGAAGAAGCGCCGGCUAACUACGUGCCAGCAGCCGCGGUAAUACGUAGGGCGCAAGCGUUAUCCGGAAUUAUUGGGCGUAAAGAGCUCGUAGGCGGUUUGUCGCGUCUGCCGUGAAAGUCCGGGGCUCAACUCCGGAUCUGCGGUGGGUACGGGCAGACUAGAGUGAUGUAGGGGAGACUGGAAUUCCUGGUGUAGCGGUGAAAUGCGCAGAUAUCAGGAGGAACACCGAUGGCGAAGGCAGGUCUCUGGGCAUUAACUGACGCUGAGGAGCGAAAGCAUGGGGAGCGAACAGGAUUAGAUACCCUGGUAGUCCAUGCCGUAAACGUUGGGCACUAGGUGUGGGGGACAUUCCACGUUUUCCGCGCCGUAGCUAACGCAUUAAGUGCCCCGCCUGGGGAGUACGGCCGCAAGGCUAAAACUCAAAGGAAUUGACGGGGGCCCGCACAAGCGGCGGAGCAUGCGGAUUAAUUCGAUGCAACGCGAAGAACCUUACCAAGGCUUGACAUGAACCGGAAACGCCUGGAGACAGGUGCCCCGCUUGCGGUCGGUUUACAGGUGGUGCAUGGUUGUCGUCAGCUCGUGUCGUGAGAUGUUGGGUUAAGUCCCGCAACGAGCGCAACCCUCGUUCUAUGUUGCCAGCACGUGAUGGUGGGGACUCAUAGGAGACUGCCGGGGUCAACUCGGAGGAAGGUGGGGACGACGUCAAAUCAUCAUGCCCCUUAUGUCUUGGGCUUCACGCAUGCUACAAUGGCCGGUACAAAGGGUUGCGAUACUGUGAGGUGGAGCUAAUCCCAAAAAGCCGGUCUCAGUUCGGAUUGGGGUCUGCAACUCGACCCCAUGAAGUCGGAGUCGCUAGUAAUCGCAGAUCAGCAACGCUGCGGUGAAUACGUUCCCGGGCCUUGUACACACCGCCCGUCAAGUCACGAAAAUUGGUAACACCCGAAGCCGGUGGCCUAACCCCUUGUGGGAGGGAGCUGUCGAAGGUGGACUGACCGACUG